GAUGAACGCUGGCGGCGUGCUUAACACAUGCAAGUCGAACGGUGAACACGGAGCUAGCUCUGUGGGAUCAGUGGCGAACGGGUGAGUAACACGUGAGCAACCUGCCCCUGACUCUGGGAUAAGCGCUGGAAACGGCGUCUAAUACUGGAUACGAGUAGCGGCAGCAUGGGCAGUUACUGGAAAGAUUUUUUGGUUGGGGAUGGGCUCGCGGCCUAUCAGCUUGUUGGUGAGGUAAUGGCUCACCAAGGCGGCGACGGGUAGCCGGCCUGAGAGGGUGACCGGCCACACUGGGACUGAGACACGGCCCAGACUCCUACGGGAGACAGCAGGGGUUAAUAUUGCACAAUGGGCGAAAGCCUGAUGCAGCAACGCCGCGUGAGGGAUGACGGCCUUCGGGUUGUAAACCUCUUUUAGCAGGGAAGAAGCGAAAGUGACGGUAUCUGCAGAAAAAGCGCCGGCUAACUACGUGCCAGCAGCCGCGGUAA
rnacentral:rRNA from 1 species